UGUCGCGUAUGAGCUCCGCAUUGUUGACUGACUGGCCUGGCCCGGGGAAACCUCUCUUGCGCUGCACUACACGAACUGAGCUGGGCUGGGGCCGACCACGGAGCGUCACGUACACAGACGCUGACGGCGGUUGCCGGUCCGUCUACGUACGUCUGCGUUCGAACCACUGUGGGGUCUCUCCUCUCCGCAUGAUCCCUAAUCCAUCUAGACCAGAGUCGCCGUCGCAUCCUUUGCCGCAGUCGCCGCCGCCGCCGCUGCAGUCUUCUCCGUCGUUCUUCACCGGCUGAUCGUCCGCUUCCGCUGUCAUCUCCUUCGUCCGCCGCCUGCCCCUAUUCUGAGUUUCUGACACGGGAUUGAGGGAGUGCGGCCGGCAGCCAAACGACGCAGGUACGUCUCCAAUCCCCCUUUUCUUCUGCUCGCCGCUGCUCAUAUUCUCUCAUGUUGAUUUCUUUUUGUUUCUCGUGUCAAUCUAUUUUGUUCUAGUGGAAGUGGUCAGCAUUAACAGUUAAUUAAUCACUGUUCAAUAUCUUAGCUGCCAGGAACCGUUGAUGUCAGCAGAACAAUCGUUGGUCUCACCGUGUACAAUGUCUCCUCCAUGUUUAUCCCGGUCAAGCUGCGAUGGCAUGGAUAAUACAUACAUAUACUUCACUGUCUAAACUCAACAAACUUGCUAAUUCAUUCUUUGCAGAAGGAAGUAGGAACCACUUCGGCAUAGGAAAAAACGAGACUGACAGGAAACCAUUGGAGAUGAUGGAAUGUUUCCUGAUUGCUUCUUGUUCGACUACAUCCACAAGGCACGAGAAGCAGGGAAUAAUUCAAAAAUGGUCUCUUUCUGUCAAUUGAUUUCACGCUAAUGAAUGUUGAUGUUGUGAUUUUCUCUAAUUCAUGGCGCGCGUGAGCUAUGGUUUGAUAAUGUAAGAUAACUUGGGAUCUGUACAAGCAGCCAGAAGGGGCUUUGUUGAUCAAGUGUUAACAUCUAGAACAAGCUGAAGCUUUAGCUAUAAGACAUGCUCUCAACUUUGCAGCAGAAGCAUGUUUUCAGAAAAUGGAAAUUGCAUCAGAUUGCUUGACAUUGAUCAACAAGAUGAAGGGCGCAGAGCAAGACAACUCCCAGAGUAGUUAGCAUCAUAAUUGAUGAUAUCAUAUGUAUAACCGUGAAAUUUGUUUUGUAUAUUUCGUCAGGUAAAUAUGUCUUGUAAGGAAGUAGCUAAUGUUUUGGAAAAAUCAACCAGACAUGAUGUAGCUUCCUGCUGGUAUGAUGAGUACCCUGAGAUUGCGAGGACCAAUUUAUGCAAAUAACAGAAUUUCAAUGGAUGAAAGCUAAUGAAAUAUCCAUCUGACCUCUUUCAGAAAA